rnacentral:rRNA from 1 species
AAUGAACGCUGGCGGCAGGCCUAAAACAUGCAAGUCGAACGCCCUAGCAAUAGGGAGUGGCGCACGGGUGCGUAACAUGUGGGAAUAUGCCUUUUGGUACGGAACAACGUUUGGAAACGAACGCUAAUACCGUAUGGUCCCUUCGGGGUAAAGAUUUAUCGCCAAAAGAUUAGCCCGCACUGGAUUAGCUAGUUGGUGAGGUAAUGGCUCACCAAGGCGACGACCCAUAGCUGGUCUGAGCGGAUGAUCAGCCACACUGGGACUGAGACACGGCCCAGACUCCUACGGGAGGCAGUAGUUAGGAAUAUUGGACAAUGGGCGCAAGCCUGAUCCAGCCAUGCCGCGUGAGUGAUGAAGGCCUUCGGGUUGUAAAGCUCUUUAGCCGACGAUUAUAAUGACUGUAGUCGGAGAAUAAGCCCCGGCUAACUUCGUGCCAGCCGCCGCCGUAA